GACCCCGCACAAGCGGUGGAUCAUGUUGUUUAAUUCGAAGAUACGCGAAAAACCUUACCAGGUCUUGACAUCCCUUGCAAUGCUGUAGAGAUACAGUGGAGGUUAUCAAGGAGACAGGUGGUGCAUGGUUGUCGUCAGCUCGUGUCGUGAGAUGUUGGGUUAAGUCCCGCAACGAGCGCAACCCUUAUUGCUAGUUGCCAUCAUUUAGUUGGGGACUCUAGCGAGACUGCCAGUGAUAAACUGGAGGAAGGUGGGGAUGACGUCAAAUCAUCAUGCCCCUUAUGACCUGGGCUACAAACGUGAUACAAUGGCUAUUACAGAGGGCCGCAAAGCUGUGAAGUGAAGCUAAACCCUUAAAGCUCGUCGUAGUCCGGAUCGGAGUCUGCAACUCGACUCCGUG
rnacentral:rRNA from 1 species